AUCGGAUGCAACGAAUCGAACGUGUAAGCGGUCCAAAAUGGUCAAAAUAAACGAGCUAGAUUUGGAAAAGAAGCAUAUUUAUAAUAUAAUAAAGGAAGUGGGUAAAAAGGUAUACAUAAAUGGCGUCUUUCGUCUGAAAAACCAUUUGUUAAAAAAAAAAUUAAAAAAUAAAAAAAAUAAAUAUUUUGCAAUACACAUUUCUAAUGCGAAACGUAAAAAAAAAUUAAAAAAAUGGUAUUUGAAAAGGAAGAGAGUUACUUUUUGGAAAAGUAAAAAAUUUUUGUCUGUUUGUAAUACAAAUGUAUUAUGUAAAGAGGGAAACAAUAUAGAUGUGGACAAGGCUAACACAAGAAGUGAGAAUAAUCAUCACUCGAACGGAGUGAAAAAGGGUCAAAUGAACGAAGUGAAAAAAGGUCAGAAGAAAGAAUUGAAAAAAAGUCAGAAGAAAGAAUUGAAAAAAAGUCAGAAGAAAGAAUUGAAAAAAGGUCAGAAGAACGAAGUGAAAAAAGGUCAGAACAUUGAAACGUGUAAAAACUGGAACUUGAACCAAUCAAAUUUGGAUAGCACCACUAAACAUAUAAGAACAGAUUCAGUUGAUAAUAAAAGGUGUAAAAAUAUUAAAUAUAACAAAUAUGAACACAUAAAAAAAAACAAAAUUCUUACUAAAGAGUUUGAAAGAUUAAAAAGAAUGAAAAAAAAGAUAAAAAGCAAAACAAAAAAUAUGAAUAUUUUAAAAUAUAUACAUGUAAGUAAUAAAAGUGAUAAUAAAAUGUAUACUACUUUGAGUAAUACAUAUUCUCAUAUAUUAUUUACUCUGCUUUCGAUAGUAUAUAUAGAAAAUUAUAAUAUUUUAUAUUUACAAAAAAAUCGUAACUUUUGUAUGAAUUGUGAUGCAUAUAAUUCUUGUUAUAUUUUUAUACACAUGGCAAAUAGUAUCAUAUUAUUGUUAUCAUCACCUUUUAAAUUGCAUUUAAAUUUUUGUCCCAUGAUAAAAAAUAAAAAUAAAACAAAAAAGAGGGACAGGAACUUAGUUGAUUAUAAAAGAUGUGUUCGGAAAGGUACCAAUAUAGCAACCGAAGCGAAUAAAACAGUAGACUUGGGUGCGAAGAUAUCUGAUGUUUUAGAUUUAACAUAUGAUCAUUCUAUAAAUCUGAUUAAUAAUAAAACGGAUAAAUUGGUACCAUCACGUCGCAAGAGUAUAAAAAAAAAGAAUGAUAAAAAAACAUUAUUAUCAUUAAAAGGAAGUAGUAACUUUUAUAAGUAUCAUAUAUAUUUGAAAACAAUGAUAGGUUUUCCUUUAAUAAAUGUUUUGUUAAUAAGCAAAAGAAAACCUAAGCAUAAAUAUAGGAUACAGAGUAGUUUAUACGUGUUUAUGUUUUGUGAUAUAAUUGAUUGUUUUUUACAAAAUAUUAUUUUUUAUAUAGAUUUGUUUAAUAACUGUAAACAAGUAGAUGUGUUAGAGUUGGUGGAAAAUAUGUACAUAAAAUUACUUUUAAAAUGUAAAGUAGGAAUAAAUGGUAACAAAGAUGAUAUUGCAAAUUUUGGUAAUAAUGGUAGUAAAGUAUUAAAUGAGCAUCGUGGUGAUGGUCUUAAUACAAAUCGCAUAGGAGAUCGUACUGAUUAUAACAAUAAUAAUAAUAACAAUAAUAAUGAAAAUAGUAGUGACUAUAAUAGUGAAAAUAAUAGUGAAAAUAAUAAUGGUAGUAGAGAGAAAGACAAAAUGAAAAGUCAACUAAUUUAUCAUAUGCUCUUUAAAUAUAUUUUACCGGAUGAAUAUGUUAGUUAUUAUAGUUUAGACAGUUUCAAAUUAUAUAACAACCAGAAAUGUUAUAUGAAUAUGUUUUAUUUUUCUUUAAAUAUAUUAUUAACAACAUUUAAUACAUAUAUAUCGAUUAAUUUAGAACAAUAUAUAUAUAACAUUUAUUAUUUUUAUAAUAAUAAUUUAUUGUAUGAGACAAUUUUGAAUAACAUUGAAGAAGCUAUAAAAUGUAUAAAAAAUAGUGGUAAAUCUUCUUUUAAUUGUAUAUUUUCUAUUAUACUAUAUUAUUUAAAUAGGUUUAAACGGAGUGAAAAAAGGUGUUAUUACAGUGUAAAUGAUGAUGAUAUGGUACAACAAGAAAAAAAACAAAAUAACGAUAUAUUAAAUGAACAAAAAUUAAGUGUAAACAUAUGUGAGGAUAACACUAUUAACAAUAAUAAAAAAGGUGUUGAAUUGGAUAAAAAUAAAGACAUAACAAGUAGACACCUUGAUUUGAAUAUAAGUACUGUACGUGAUAUAAUGAACUGUAGCGUAGAAGGAAUAGAACAAGUGAAUAAUACAAAAAUUAAAAAAAUGAAUUAUUUUGCAACAUAUGCGAAUGGUCGUAGUUGUAGUCGUAGUCGGAGCAGUAGUAGUAGCAAUAGUAGUAACAGUAGUAGUAGUAAUAUUGUUAUUGUUAGUGGUGAUAGUAGCAAUAGUGACAGUAGUGAUAGUGGCAAUAAUAGUCAGGGUUGUAGUAAUAGUAGCAACAGUUUUUACAUUAGUAGUUUUGGCAGUAGUAGUAGUGAUAGUUGUAGUAGUAGUAGUAGUAGUAAUAGUGACAGUAGUAGUA
ensembl:lncRNA